rnacentral:rRNA from 1 species
CAGCUUGUUGGUGAGGUAAAGGCUCACCAAGGCGACGAUCUUUAGCUGGUCUGAGAGGAUGAUCAGCCACACUGGGACUGAGACACGGCCCAGACUCCUACGGGAGGCAGCAGUGGGGAAUAUUGGACAAUGGGCGAAAGCCUGAUCCAGCAAUGCCGCGUGAGUGAUGAAGGCCUUAGGGUUGUAAAGCUCUUUUACCCGGGAUGACAAUGACAGUACCGGGAGAAUAAGCCCCGGCUAACUCCGUGCCAGCAGCCGCGGUAAUACGGAGGGGGCUAGCGUUGUUCGGAAUUACUGGGCGUAAAGCGUACGUAGCGGCUUUGUAAGUUAGAGGUGAAAGCCCGGAGCUCAACUCCGGAAUUGCCUUUAAGACUGCAUCGCUAGAAUCAUGGAGAGGUGAGUGGAAUUCCGAGUGUAAAGGUGAAAUUCGUAGAU